AACAUAUUUAAAAUAAUUUUCACAGGCAAUUCAUUGAGUCAACCGCCUGUGAAAAUGAUUUCUACACGCGGUUGACUUAAGAAACUGCCUGUAGAAAUACAUUUUCACAGAUAGUUUCUUAAGCCAACCGCAUGUGAAAAUAAUUUCUACAGGUGGUUGGCUUAAGAAACCGCCUAAAAAAAUGAUUUCCACAAGUGGUUUCUUAAGUCAACCACCUAUAGAAAUUCU